rnacentral:rRNA from 1 species
AACGAACGCUGGCGGCAUGCCUAACACAUGCAAGUCGAACGAGACCUUCGGGUCUAGUGGCGCAAGGGUGCGUAACGCGUGGGAACCUGCCCUUAGGUUCGGAAUAACUCCCCGAAAGGGGUGCUAAUACCGGAUAAUGUCUUCGGACCAAAGAUUUAUCGCCUUUGGAUGGGCCCGCGUUGGAUUAGCUAGUUGGUAGGGUAAAAGCCUACCAAGGCGAGGAUCCAUAGCUGGUUUGAGAGGCUGAUCAGCCACACUGGGACUGAGACACGGCCCAGAAUCCUACGGGAUGGGGCAGAGGGGAAUAGUGGACAAUGGGCGGAAGGCUGAUCCAGCUAUGCCGCGUGAGUGAUGAAGGCCUUAGGGUUGUAAAGCUCUUUUACCCGGGAUGAUAAUGACGGUACCGGGAGAAUAAGCUCCGGCUAACUCCGUG